rnacentral:ncRNA from 1 species
UUUUAUUGAGAAAGGAGAGAUGGUUGGCAUCUCCUCUGAGUCUCUGACAGAGACGGGAUUGACCUUCGGGUCCUGAACACAUCCGGUUAAGGCUCUCCACCCUCGGGUGGAUCUAACCCAAUUUUUUA